CUUCCCAGCAAACAAACCAGACACCAUAGCUGUGCCAAAAAGUCCCUCCCAUAGGUGUAAGGGAAGGGCAGGGCAGACUGAAGGGCACGGACAGAAGUUGCAAAAGUUGCAGGGGUCAGUGGAAUCUGCUGCCAAGAUCUGAUUUUGUGACACAGCGCAAAUUUCUUAUCAAAGCCAUUCCUGCCAUCCCUCCACAAGUUUGGGCUACCGAGCAAACGAAAAGCAGGAUGGUUGCUUCUUCUCUGCAGGGGGUGAACAAGUCUCAGUUUCAGGGGAUAUUAUCCUCACUGGACAGGGAGGAUUAGACAGUCUGCACUUCCAUGCUGACCGGCAAGCUCCAGCUACUGCUACUCCUGGCAACUCAUGGUUGAUUUGCCUUGGAUUUGAAGCAACUGUUGUCAAGAACUUAAACCUCAAGAGGUGAAUGGCAGGCCUCCCUAAGUUAUCUUCCCUUUUCCCAGCUGCCCUGUCUCUUCCUGCUUCUUUAAACCCAGCCAAGGAAUGAAUAUUAUUUUCUAAUGACUGAAAGAAGGCACAUAAGAGGCAGGUCUUCAGAUUAAGAAUCCAAGACUUGAUUGCAGCUCUUAUCAUACUUCUUUUCCAUUUUUUCCCUCUUCUUCCCACCAGAAAAUAAAUUGCUUCAAUAAAUUAUGUCUUUGAUCUGCAUAGGGGACCAGCAGCCUGGGCUCUCA
rnacentral:lncRNA from 1 species